ensembl:misc_RNA 7SK 7SK RNA
GGGUGUGAGGGCGAUCUGGCUGUGACAUCUGUCACCCCAUUGAUGGCCAGGGUUGAAUCAGCUGAUCUGGCUGGCUAGGUGUCCCCUUCCUCCCUCACUGCUCCAUGUGCGUCCCUCCUGAAGCUGCAUGCUUGGUCGAAGAGGACGACCUUCCCGGAUAGAGGAGGACCGUUCUUCGGUCAAGGGUAUACAAGUAGCUGCACUCUCCUGCUAGAACCUCCAAACAAGCUUUUAAUAAAUGGUGCUGGAGAACUGGAUAACCACGUGUAAAAAACUGAAACUGGACCUGAACCUUU